rnacentral:rRNA from 1 species
AACGCGAAGAACCUUACCUACCCUUGACAUUGACGGAAUUUGACUGAGAGGUUGAAGUGCCCGCGAGGGAACCGUUGAACAGGUGCUGCAUGGCUGUCGUCAGCUCGUGUCGUGAGAUGUUGGGUUAAGUCCCGUAACGAGCGCAACCCUUGUUCCUAGUUACCAGCACGUAAAGGUGGGGACUCUAGGGAGACUGCCGGUGACAAACCGGAGGAAGGUGGGGAUGACGUCAAGUCCUCAUGGCCUUUAUGGGUAGGGCCACACACGUGCUACAAUGGGCGGUACAGAGGGAAGCGAAGCUGCGAGGUGGAGCGAAUCUCAGAAAGCCGUUCGUAGUCCGGAUUGGAGUCUGCAACUCGACUCCAUGAAGUUGGAAUCGCUAGUAAUCGCGAAUCAGCAUGUCGCGGUGAAUACGUUCCCGGGCCUUGUACACACCGCUCGCGA